rnacentral:rRNA from 1 species
UACGGGGGGGGCAAGCGUUGUUCGGAAUUACUGGGCGUAAAGGGCUCGUAGGCGGCCAACUAAGUCGGAUGUGAAAUCCCCAGGCUCAACCUGGGAACUGCAUCCGAUACUGGAUGGCUUGAAUUCGGGAGAGGGAUGCAGAAUUCCAGGUGUAGCGGUGAAAUGCGUAGAUAUCUGGAGGAACACCGGUGGCGAAGGCGGCAUCCUGGACCAAUUCUGACGCUGAGGAGCGAAAGCCAGGGGAGCAAACGGG